GAUGAACGCUAGCGGCAGGCUUAACACAUGCAAGUCGAGGGGUAUAACACUUCGGUGUUAGAGACCGGCGCACGGGUGCGUAACGCGUAUGUAAUCUACCUUUUACAGAGGGAUAGCCCAGAGAAAUUUGGAUUAAUACCCCAUGGUAUUAUGGAUAGGCAUCUAUUUAUAAUUAAAGAUUUAUCGGUAAAAGAUGAGAAUGCGUCCCAUUAGCUAGUUGGUAUGGUAACGGCAUACCAAGGCGACGAUGGGUGGGGGUCCUGAGAGGGAGAUCCCCCACACUGGUACUGAGACACGGACCAGACUCCUACGGGAGGCAGCGGUGAGGAAUAUUGGACAAUGGGCGCAAGCCUGAUCCAGCCAUGCCGCGUGCAGGAUGACUGCCCUAUGGGUUGUAAACUGCUUUUGUACAGGAAGAAACCCUUCUACGAGUAGAAGAUUGACGGUACUGUAAGAAUAAGGAUCGGCUAACUCCGUGCCAGCAGCCGCGGUAA
rnacentral:rRNA from 1 species